GGAUUAGAUACCCUGGUAGUCCACGCCGUAAACGAUGUCUACUAGCCGUUGGGGUACUUGAGACCUUGGUGGCGCAGCUAACGCACUAAGUAGACCGCCUGGGGAGUACGGCCGCAAGGUUAAAACUCAAAUGAAUUGACGGGGGCCCGCACAAGCGGUGGAGCAUGUGGUUUAAUUCGAUGCAGCGCGAAGAACCUUACCAGGCCUUGACAUCCUGAGAACUUCCUAGAGAUAGGUUGGUGCCUUCGGGAACUCAGAGACAGGUGCUGCAUGGCUGUCGUCAGCUCGUGUUG
rnacentral:rRNA from 1 species